GAACUGGGGAAUACCAUCCCAGAUGCAAACAUGUUCAUUGGUAACAAGGAGACAAAAGGUGAAAAAAGUGAGAGUCCCACUUCCGUUUAAAGGCUCAAAGUGCUUAAAUGUACCCAGCAAAUACAGAAACAACAGCCCCAGGCUGUUUUAAAUGUCUGUUUACCCACAUGCGUACAGAGAUGCAUUCAAGUAUGUUGAAUGCACCGAGGUGGCCUCAAACAAAAACGUAUAUAGCAAACAUAUUGACCGCCUCUCGCUCUUGUAAGUCCUGCUCACUUGAGCAAGUGGAUAAAAAAGAAAAUAACUUUUGAAUACCUCACAUAACCUUUUUUUUUUUCUCCAAACUAAAACAAAGGCAUCUCCAUUUCUGGAGCAAAUUUACUACUGAGAACUCUGAAGUCAGAUAGAAACACAUGCUUUACACUACAUUAAUUUUUUCUCCCUUUGAAUAUACAGACAUACACGUGUAUGUCUGUUUAUGACAUACAUAUAAAUUCCAUUUAUAUGCAUUUGCUGUAUUAUUUCUGUCAUUAUUAUUGAAAAAUGAACAGAACGAUGAUUCAUUUUUUUGAAAUCUCCCAUAACUAUCACUCUAUCAAAAUAGAAUAAAAAAGGAAUGGAAAAAUUGGUCACAGUUUGACUUUCAGUGUUUAGCAGGAUAAUUUUCAUUAAUAGAUAAGUAUCCAAAGUUACUAGUGAUAGGUUGAAAGCACAGCCUUCAUUUUAGCAAAUGACCUAAGUAUCUGAUAAGGUGGACUGUUCACAGACUACUUUUUGGAGAGUCUUUCAAACUUAUUUUCAUAGCCUUUAGUACUCAGAGACUCAAUUUUAUCUGUUGAGAUUAAUUCUUAAAAGUGCAUGCACUAUAGGAAGACAUGCAGACUUAAAGAGGUAAAUAGACAGAAGUCUACUGCAUGAAAAUUACUUUAUUGCAAUUUUCCACAUGCAUGAGAAUCAUGUUCAGAUAUUAACUGAAGCUCCUAAGCAUGCAACAUUACAUUCUCUAGCCUUUAUGAUAGAAUUUUCAUGUAAAUACUCUACUGCUUUUGUGAGCAAUAAGCAAGCCUCUUCUUUUUUCUUUUUUUUUUCUUUUGUUAUAUCUAUUUUGUUUCUUAAUACUUAUUCCAGUUCUAUGAGUUUUAUAUUUGCCUGCCAACUCAUCUGGAUUACUAAGAGAGGGAUAUAAUACCCUCCAAAAAGAGUAGUUUCAUACAAAUAAAACAUUGGAAAACUUUAGGUAAUUCUAUUAACCAAACCAGGAGUAUGAUAGAUCAUCAGAGCUGUUUCCAGCAUCCAGACACUUAAAGAGCCGGCAUUAGAUACUCCUGGUGUCUUGUGAUCCAAGCACUAUGCACAAGCUACACGAUCAAGUGUUCCCUCUGAAGAAAUGUAUGAUAAAACACACUGACAAAGGGCCCAUCUAAGAGAGGAAAUUAGCUGAAAAGGCAAUUGUGGAACAAGUUUUUCCAGGUGGAGCUUUUUGCACACACAACUUUGAGACUCUUUCUCUACAUUGAUUAAGGAGUCCCUAUUACUAGAACAGAACAUCUUCAUCAAGUCACUUGAAAAUUCAAAUCAUACUGUCAACUGAAAUAACCUCCAAGCCCCAAGAAAAGCCCCAUAUCAUUUUCCUUAUCAUCCAGAAAUCAACACUAGUAGACAAACCUUUCACUUAUUCUUGGCAGAGCAGCCAUGUCCCAUCAUCAUUCUUUAUGGGAGAUACAGGACAAAACUGAAUUCUGAGGGCUAUGUUAGGAGCUGGAUGUCAGAAUUCUAGCUGCUAAAAGCAUUCAGCAGCACUUUUGUAUGCUGCACACAUUUACCUGUCUGAAAACUGAACAGUCCACAACACUGAAUACCUUAACAACAAAAGAAAGGAUCUGCUAGGCAUCAGACUUUAAUAAUAAUAAUAAUAAGCAUGGUGAGACUUCUCUUUAUGGAUUAUGUUCAAGUCAGGUUUUGAAGGGAAGCUUCCAUUCUUCCCACCUUUCUCAAGUGCUAAACAAGUAACCCACCUCCAUUACAAUACUACAAAUAGUUUCAUUCACAGGAGAAAUUCUCUCUUGGUCUCAGAGAAGAAAUCACACAACAAAGACAAACUACGGUGAGAUACCUUUUGCAGGCACAUGCUCAGAACCAACUUCCCCAUCAGGCACACUUUUGGAAGGGAGAGCUUAUUUCCCUUUUAGAUGACGCUGCCAUGUAAAGAGAUUCUGUACCUUGACCAUCCAUUACUAUUCUGCAUGACAAACUGGGGCUUUCAUUUCAAAUUGAUGAGCAGGACUAGGGAAGUAAUCCUGCCCCUGUACUCGGCAUUGGUGAGGCCUCACCUCGAAUACUGUGUUCAGUUUUUGGCACCUCAGUACAGAAAGGACAUUGAGGUGCUGGAGCAGGUCCAAAGAAGGGUAACAAGGAUUGUGAAGGGCUUGGAGAAUAUGCCCUACAAGGAGCAACUGAGGGAACUGGGGCUGUUUAGUCUGGGGAAAAGGAGGCUGAGGGGAGACCUUAUUACUAUAAGUAAGUACUUUACUAAGUUUACAGUAAGGGAUAAUUACAGUGAGUUAGAGGAAAAUCUCAAAAGUCACUUGGGAAAGAAAGCAAUUAAGAGCCAGUGAGCCAGGCUUCACUUCUCACAACAAAGCAGCCUCCUUGGUCAAAACACAAAUAGCAAAGGAAAACAACAUUUAGGAGGCUAAUACUUAAAUGAUGUCAAAAUAUUGCCAAGCCUUGUGACUAGCUGCUAAAAGGGGCUGUGUUUCCACAGCACAGUGGGAGACUGCCACGAAAGGCAUGGAGGUGACACACGGAGACGACAUGAGAUACAGGAGCAGGUUGUGCUUGCCUUGUAGGUGUAUUGUAAGAGGGAAAGCAGGAGCAGGGAGGUGGGUGAUUGCCCCCAUUUUCAUCCAUGCUGCACCUCAGAUACUGUGUUCAGUUUUGGGCCCCUCACAAGAAGAGAGACGUUGAGGCAAUGGAGUGCAUUCAGAGAAGGGCAACGAAGCUGGUGAGGGGUCUGGAGCACAGGUCCAAUGGGGAGUAGCUGAGGGGAUGAGACUGUUCAAUCUGGAGAAAAGGAGUCUCAGGGGAGACCUUAUGGCUCUCUACAACUGCCUGAAAGGAGACUGUGGUGAGGUGGGGGUUGGCCUCUUCUCCCUGGUAACAACAAAAGGAUGAGAAGGAAUAGCCUUAAGUUGUGCCAGGAGAGGUUCAGAUUGGGUAUGAGGAAGAAUUUCUUCUCAGAAACAGUGGUGACGCACAGGAAUAGGCUGCCCAGGGAGCGGUGGAGUUGCUAUCCUUGGAGGUGUUCAAGAAAAGGUUGAAUGCGGUAUUUAGGGACACGGUCUAGUGGACAGUAUCGGUAGUAGGUGGAUAGUUGGACUAGAUGAUCUUAGAAGUCUUUUCCAACCUUUACAAUUCUAUGAGACUAGUACAGGCUCUUUUCGUUGUUCAAUGAGAACAAACUUUGAAUGAGAAACAAACAAACAAGAAAAAAUUUAGACCAUUUCCUUUCUUUUCUGAGCUGCAUCUUUUGGGUAUAUUUAGCACAAAAAUCAUAGUCCAUAUGAACAGUAUUGUGCACAUCAAAAUUCAUUUCAUCCCAUCUCCUGUAACAGAUGUUUACAAUAUCAACAUCUCCAAUAUGGACUUAUUUAUUCAGUACCUUAAAAACACACACACAAACCAAAUGUGAAUUACUGCUUGCAAUGAAGGAGUUCCUCAGCAUAGUACAAUUAACUGAAUUAUGCCGCAUCACUACUUCUCCAGUUCCUUCAGUUCAUAGAAUCUGUCAUUAGAACUGGCAUAGAUUCACUUUGCAAAGUUAUUUGAGAUUCUGUUAGACUCUUAAGGUGCCAUAGACAGUAAUGGUGCGUGGGAAUGCUUUUAUAUGCGCCAGAUUCCCAGAUGCAAGUGAGAAAACUGGAAACAGAUGCACACUUCCGAAACUGUGUUAAAAAUACAGCCAAAUAACAUCCCUCUAUUCAAGCUCUUAGGAAUUUCCUCCCGGUGACCAAGUGUAUAAUAAUUGCCAAUCCAAAGAACACAUGACUAGAAAUGAGUUUUUUGAUAACAGUAUUCAUAUGUAGCAAUAAAAAGACGAGUAACACUGUUCCUGUGUAAUUACUUCCUGCAACUUGAACGUUUUUAUCCUCUCACAAAGCCUUUCCUCAAUUAGGUGCUUCAAGGAUAUAUAUAUGGUUUUAUAAAGGGUGGCAUCAGCUAGAGAAACAGAUUAGAAAACAGAGUUAUUAUGGGCUCUAUUUACCACAAAGAUCUCCUAGUCCCUUGUAUUACAGAAGUUGUGCAAGGUCAUAUCUGGCUAAGUAAUUAAACAGGAACUCAGCAGAGCCACAGAAAGCUAUUUUCCCAAGCUUUGCAGAGAUCUAUCUUGAGCUCAGUGAGCCCCUGCAAAUGAAUUUCUCCCUUCCCUCCUGCCAAUAUAUUAUCUCUCUGCUUGAUUUUAGAAGGCAAAAGACUCAAGAACUCUUCAGUUACUUUGCAGAAUUACUGAAUUCGUGUACUUGCAAAUUAUUUUGGUUCCUGACCGUAUGACAAGUCCAUGAUUGGCACCAGUGGUUUAGCAAAAACAACUAGAAAUAUCUGCUUUUGCAGUCUCUGGGGUUGCCACACCAAAGGAAUACAGAACAUCUAUCUUCAAAUUUCUUUCUAAGUGAGCACAAACAGCAGCAUUACUCAAACAGGUAUGGAGAUCUCAUGAAGGAUUUUCCUUUGCUGCUGUUAUAGUACAAAGUUGCAAAAUAUAUAAUUUAUACUCACCUAGGAAGAGCCCAAAGCAAUAGCUAGGAAACUUUCAGCACCCUCCCUAGCCAUACUUUCUGAUCUGGGAACAAUCAUUUAAAACAGCACUGUUUUUUUUAAUUUUUUAUUUUUUUAAUACUAAUAAGAAAUUAAAAAAAUGAAAAAUGAAAAAACUGCAAGACCACACUACAAGCAAACAUUCUUCCACCUAAAAUAAAUAAACAAAUAAAUAAACAAAAUGAAGAACAGCUUCCCUUCUAUAGCCUUCUUCCAGGUGGACCCUCUCAAGAGCAAGCCACCUGCUUGCCUCACUUUCCCAGCUAGAGCCAAUAAGCAAAGAGAAAUUUCUCAUCCUAACACCAACAUGAUACAAAGCCCCUUUCUCUAAAAGCAAUGUUUCCCUUUUCUCUGUUGCCUCUAAUUGCUGCACAAGGAACAUCCUUGUGCUGAGAUGCAGUAAAAUGAUGGAGCAAUGCUACUGGAAUGUCCUAUGUGUUCCUACCUGCUUUACCUAGCAGCAUCAAAUAGCCUGUCUGCAUUCUCCCCCAUUCUCCUGCUCUAACUUUCGGUCCACUCACUUCAGUGGAAAAAAGAAUUGCAUUAAUCUCUGACACCUCCUUGCUUCCAUAAGUCUGCACUUUGCCUUUGACUUUAACCAUCAUUAAAAUGCCUAGAACACUUAAAAGGUGUGAUUUCUUGCUCAUUUUAGUAUUUUAAAGAAUUCAUGCUGGAGUCACAUCUUUUCUGAUAAUUCCAAAUUAAAGAAUACUGGCUCAGCAGGAAUCUGUACUUGAUAACAGAAUCUCUCUAGCAUAUGCUUUUUCUGAUCUUUCUGCAAGGCAAAUUGCUUUUAGAUAGACCGGUUAGAAAUUUCUGGGCCAUAUCAUCAGGCAUAACAGAGCAGUAUUCAGUAAAAAGCUGCAGGUGGACACAGGAUGGGUAAUACUGUGUGCUACAUGUUCAUGCAAAGUCUCAACAACUUUUGAAGGAAGGAAUUUAAUAAACUACUGUGGACCAGUGCUGUAUUUCUGCUUCAGUUCUGCUGGAAUCCCUCCCCUCUCAUGCUGUUUUUCAUGGUAGCAAAGACCCAAUCCAGGCACAUGGACAAGGAAGCUCUGUUUGACAACAGCAUAUUUCUGUGUCCCUUUGCACUUAGUGUUGCAGUGUAUGCCCAAGUUUCCAUAGAAGUUUGACAGCAGUAGUCAAGAGCAGACAAAGGAGUCAGGAAGGAUGAUAACGGAUAACUGAAUUUCUGACUCAGGUUUCUACAGAUUUUCUCUGGAUGCCUUCCUCUCCUAUGCCCUUCUAGAAUUCAUGCAGAACUGUGGAGAGAUCAUGAUAGAAGUUACAGUAACCAAAUACCUCCAUUUCCCUCCACUUAGUUCCAAACUAUCAGUUCCACUAUCAGUUCCCCACAUGAAUCCCCGGUGCUUCAGCAAAAUCUGAAAUUCCUGGUGCUGCAGAUAGGAAUUGGAAACAAAUCUUCUUUUUUUCAGUUAUCAAUUUAUCUGUAUCUUUUAUCAUAUCCUAAGCACUCAUUUCCUUUCUGAUAACGUGAGAUUCACUAGUCAUUCCUGUAGUCCUUCUAUAGUAAUGAACUCCUGCCAAUAAAGUAACCACAUCAAUGGACAAUAACAGGGAAAAACCGAAAGCAGAAGAUGUACAAGCACUGGAAGUUAGAGCAGACAGCUGAGCAUUAGUCAUUACAGACUAAGUGUUACCAUCAUGACACCCCUUUGAAGCACUUGAAAAUGGCAGUGGAGAACACAAUGAAUAGAAAUUCAGAAGUUUCCAAUUUUGGAUGAUCUUAAAGACUUUAAAAAUGAAUUUUAAGAGCAGUUGAGAAUGCAUUAUAAGAAAAAAUUAAUAAUCAGACAAUCUUACUAUUUUUUAAAUGGGAGUGUCUAUGCCAUUCUACUUCAGCAGAGAUGACUGAUCAUUCAAUAUUUGCCUUGUUGACAUCUCUUGAAUCUCCCUGUUCUUUCUGUCUAGUGUUGAAUACUGCUCAAGUGCCUUUGUCUAGAUACAUCACACAAAGCAUUUUAUACUUCAGCUCUUUUCUAAUUUUGGUUUCAGUAAAGACUGCUCUUUCAUUCACAAUUUCAGCACUGACAUAGUGAAAAAAACACAAUUUCUUUGCCGUCAGCAAAACAUUUAUUUUUCUCUUUGGCAGCCUGGAGGAUUGACUGUCUGCCCAGGCACCAUAUGUGAAUUAUAAUAGAUUUGGGGUUCUCUUGUGUUAUAGAUUUCCCAUUAAAGAUCUGGUAGGUCUUCAGCAUGAGACUGCAUUUUUACUGUAAAACAAAGUCAGGAAACUCCAAUUGUGUACUACUUUCAUCCUGUUAAUUUAGAUUAUUACAUUGCUUCUAUGUGUCUCACAUAUUAAAAGAGUACCUCUCUAUUCCCAGAGAACACACUGACUUUUGUGCAGUGCACUUUGAUAUUGCUUCUGGGAGGAUCUCAGAAUUAUCGCAAAACAGACUUUUUUUUCCAGAAAAAUCUUCAUCAUCUUUCACAAAACAAACAAACAAACAAACAAAAAUUU